CAGCCUUGUACUCCUUUCCCAGCUUGGAACCAGUCUGUUUUCCUAUGUUCAGUUCUAACUGUUGCUUCUUGAUCUGCAUACAGGUUUCUCAGGAGGAAGGUAAAGUGAUCAGUUUGAACAUCUGGAAUUUCAUGGGUCACGUACUGUUGAAGCCUAGUUUGAAGAAUUUUGAGCAUUACUUUGCUAGUGUGUGUGAGGUGAGUGCAAUUGUCUGGUAGUUUGAACAUUGUUUGGCAUUGGCUUUCUUUGGGAUUGGAAUGAAAACUGACUUUUUCCAGUCCUGUGGCCACUGCUGAGUUUUCCAAAUUUGCUGGCAUUUUGAGUGCAGCACUUUCACAGCAUCAUCUUUCAGGAUUUGAAACAGCUCAACUGGAAUUCCACCACCUCCACUAGCUUUGUUCAUAGCGAUGCUUCCUAAGGCCAAUUUGACUUCACAUUCCAGCAUGUCUGGCUCUAGCUGCUGCUACUGCUGCUGCUAAGUCGCUUCAGUCGUGUCCAACUCUGUGCGACCCCAUAGACGGCAGCCCACCAGGCUCCCUGAUGCCUGAGAUUCUCCAGGCAAGAACA
ensembl:lncRNA